ACCUCCCUUUCAAUUCUUCGUUCUUCUUGGAUAAGACUGAAUUGAGAAUCAGCUACUUUGAAUCUUCAGUUUGAUUAAAGGAUCAAACGUAGCUUCUGGUGAAGAUAUUGCUUCUGAUGAAAACUUUUGCUUCUGAUGACCUUCUGCUUCUGAUGACGUCAUUACUUCAGAAGCACUUCAGCUUCAGGAGCAGUUUUCUUCAGAUGCUCAGAAUUUCUUUUUCUUUCCAUUGUUCUUCCAAGACCUAUUGAAAUAACUUGAGUAGCCUUUGGUCCUGUACACUUGAACAAUUAUUAGUAAUAACCAAUUGACAAUUUUUAAUACCUUGUUAUCAUCAAAACUUAAUAAGGUUCAUUGUGAAAC
rnacentral:lncRNA from 1 species